UCUAUAGUUGAAAGCUAAGUUGAAAACAUUACAUCAUUUAGUGAAUUUCAAUUUCCUCUAGCGAUCGGUGUACAUUGUAUUUGAUUAUAUUUAAUUUAUAACAGAUAUUCAAUAUUCUAGAGCAAGUAAAAGUGUAAGCUAAAGUAAAGUAUUCAUCACAUAUAUGAAUCUGUUGGUGAUUUCACCGACGGCGUGAUGAUUUUAUGGAUGGCUUGAUGUGGUGGACGCUGACAACGACGACGAUGAUGGCGCUGAAAAUUGUGAUAUAAAAUUCUGUUGGGAUUGGAAAUGUACAAAAAUGUAAUUGUGCUAAAUUGAACACUGACAUUGAAAAAUUAACAUUUAUAAUGGAAAAUAAAAAAUUUAUGUAAUAUAAAAAAAUGAAAUUAAAAAAAAUAAAAUAAAAUCUUAAAUCAAAAUAUUAAAUUAUAAAAAAAUUCACAAUUAAAAAAAAUAAUUUCAAUUGUGUAAUUAAUAAAAAAAUUAUUUAAUUACAACAUCAAUAAAAUAAAUUAUUAAUUUAUUUUUUUAAUCAAUAACAUUAAACUAUAAAUAAAUAAUUAAUUUUGAAAAAAAAUAUUGAAAUUUAAUAAUAAAAAUUAAUUAAAAAUUUAUAAACAAUAAAAUAAAUUAUUAAAAUUUAAUAUAAUAUAUAAAAAAUUAAAAAUACUAAAAAUGAUCAUAUAUAAUUUUAAACAUUGAAAUAACAAACAUUAAACAAUUUACAUUUUUUUAUUUUUGUAUAUAAACAUUAAACUCUGAACAAAUUAUCAAGAAUAAUUGUUUAUAAUUUUAAUUAAAUUAAAAAAAAAUUAAAUUCAAAUAAAAAAAAUAUAAAUGAAAACUAAACGUAUACAAACUAACAAAAUAAAAAAAUAUAAUUUAAAAUGUAAAAAAUACACGCAAUUUAUACAAAACAAAACACAAUAUAUAAUAAUAAAAAUAAUAAAUAAUAUAAUACAAAUUAUUAAAAAAUAAAUUUUAAAUAAAAAAAUUUCAAAAAUUUAAUUAAAUUACAAAAAUUUAAAAUAAAAUGAAAAAAAAAAUAAAACAAAAUGUUAAAUAACAAAUAAUAAAUAAAAAAUAAAAAUAUGUUAAUAAAAAAAUACAAAUAAAUAAUUCAAAAUGUAAAAAAACAAUAAAUUAAAAAAAACAACAAAAUAAAAAUAAAAAAUAUACGUAAUAUAUAAAUAAAUAAAAAUAUAUAUUUUUAUACAUAUAAGUAAUAAACUUUGAAUUAAUCAACGAAAAAUAUUUUUAUCAAAAAAAAAUAAAAAUAAAAAAUCAAACAAUAUAUUAAUAAUUAAAAAUUUAACAAAUAUUGAAAUAUUACUUUCCUUUUUUAACAAAUAAAUAUUAAGCUUAAAAAAAAUCAACGCAAAAAAUAUUUAUUUAAAAAAAAUUAAAUUAAAUGUUACUGUCAUAAUAUCAUUCAAAGACUAAAUAUAUUCAAAUUCAAAUCAAGAUAUUAAUACUUAUCAGAAAUAAAAUGUCCGCUCACUGCUCAAUCCCACACAGACAAUAUAUGCAUACAAAUAUUGUACUACAAAAAGAGCAAUCGUUUCAAAGAUCAUCAUACAAGUAUGCGUACACAUGCGUCUCCCGAAAACCCUACAAACAUUGUUCUCCAAAAACAACAAUCGUCUCAAGAAGCAUCAGAAAUCAAUAUGGCAGCCAAAUUGCCGACGUCAAAAUUUAUAGAAAAUUACACAACCACAUAAUUUUCAUUCAUGAACGCAUGCACAAAGUUGAUUCAUUAAUUUUUUGACACGAAAAACGAGAGUAUUUUUAGUUUAAGUGAAUUAUUUUUGGCUAUGUUUUGUUUUAGUUUAUUAGUUAAGAUAAACACUUAUAAUAUAAACCUUGAAUUCUAUAAUAAAACUUUUUAUUAUUGUAUUAAAAACUGCGUUGUAAUAAACACUUAAAUGUUGAUAGAA